CGAAAUUUUGUCUUUUUAAAGGAAGGUUAAUCUAAGGAUAUAUAUUGUAUAUAUUAAGACUAUAUUUCAUAGAUUAAUUGUCAUGAAUUUUACAGUAACAUUCACUGAACUGUAUAAAAUGGACAGAUGUUUGACCAAAAGACAAAUAGUCCGGUAAAUAACGGAUCUCUUGCCAUGUUGAAGUCAAUUUGAUCUGAAAUGAAUUAUACCUUUUAAUUGCAGGUUGAUGAACAUACAAGAGUUCUCAACAGAUUAGACACAGCCUUUAAACAUGUAUCAUCUAACAUAAACAAAAAAGUUCUACACAUGAGUAAGUAUUGUAAAUUCUCAUGUUUGGUGUUAUCCAUUUAAUAAAACUAUGUUAUCCUCCCACCAAACAAAGUUAGGAGUCCAAACUUGCAGAUACAAUACUUCUCCAUUGCAGUAAUGUUCCUGAUUCAAUCAACUAUAAAUUAAUGGAGGAAUUAUCUAUUGAUGCAUCCACACUUAAUUUUGGUAACAAGGACUUCAAUUUACACAAUAAUGACUAUGGUUAAACGAUCUGGUCUCCCUCAUAAAAAUUUAUACUGUACUUGGCAUUACAAAAUUUGUGCUCCAAACACCAAACCUACUACUAUAAUUCAAUGAUUUCGGAGUCUGAGUAUGAUUAUCUUACUUGAAAGUUUUAUGACGCAAGCCCAGAUCUUAGAAACUAACAAUUUAUGAAUCGGAGAGAAAAGAUCUUUUGUCACUUGAUGCAUUUAUCUGUGACAUGGGUCCACCCUAUAAUUAUGUAUAGGUCACAUGACCUUCAUUAUAUCAUUUUAAGAUUGAAAUACAAAUUCUAAAAUAUAAAGAUAUAGUGAUUAGCUAUUGUUCUAAUUGGCUCUAUCUUUUGAGAUUGUUUGGUUUACUAUGUUGUUGCAUAGUUAUUUUGUUGAGAUAAUAAUAACAUCUGCUUUCAUAGAUUCAAGGUGAACAUUAAAAAGGUCUCUGUAAAAGGCGAUAUUGGUAACUGAACUAUUUAUGCCAAUGCCUUAUAUGUCAACUAGAAAGAUGGUUGAAGUUUAAUCUUUAGUAGCGCUGAAUUGUAUGUUACUUUCUACAUGUCUUUUGAUUAUAUGUGUCAUUAGGUUGCUGUCUCACAUCAAUGAUACCUGCUUACAUCUCUUUUAUUAUUGACAAUUUUCUUGAAUUCAUCUUGAAAUUUAAGAAGGAAGGGUUACUCAUAAUUAAUAAUCUUCUUGAACUUAAACAUAUAACAUGUUUUAUGUAGUUCUUCUUUCACAUAAAUAUGUUCAUAUAUAAUAUUUUUUCUUACAGAAGAAUCACAACAGCCAUUAGAAACACCAAGACGAGUUAUGCAGUCACUUUUUGUCCUUUCCAACACCAAAAUGACCGGGUUUUCAUAAAGGCAUUUCGCUGCAUUUUGUAUAUUUUAACCUACUUUAAAGAUAGAAAUGUUGAUUAAAUUACCAAUACAUGUACAGCGUACCUGUGUAUUAUUUAAUAUUGCUCAAACUCUAAAUGUCAUAUAUAUUUGUGUUCAACACUUCAAUCGCUAUACAGUGAACGUGUUCAUGUCAAAUAUUUUAUUGAAAAAUAAAAGAAUAUUGCACUAUAAUAAGACGUUAAUGUUUCAGUGAAUAUCUGUUGUACAUUCUGUUAGAUCAGCUGUAAAGACCAAUCUGUCAGUUUGAUUUAACUCUCUGUCCUCUGCAAGUCAGCAAUACAAAUAGACCUACAAUAACAAACAUAGUAAUGGAUUAACCAGAUUCUCCUUACAGUUGUUUAUUUAAACAUUAUUGAAAAAGGCAAAAUGGGCUAAUCCCAGUU
rnacentral:lncRNA from 1 species